CCAAGGCGAAACCGCGAAUGGCUCAUUAAAUCAGUUAUGGUUAAUUGGAUCUGACCCUGUCCUACUCGGAUAACUGUGGUAAUUCUAGAGCUAAUACGUGAAUCCCAGCCCCGACCGAAAGGGAAGGGCGCUUUUACUAGACCAAAACCAAUCGGGCCUCGGUCCGUCCUCAAUGUGGUGACUCUGCGUAACUUUGAGCCGAGCGCACGGUCCUCGCACCGGCGCCGCAUCCUUCAAGUGUCUGCCUUAUCAGCUGUCGAUUGUAGGCCAUGCGCCUACAGUGGCUAUAACGGGUAACGGGGAAUCAGGGUUCGAUUCCGGAGAGGGAGCCUGAGAGACGGCUACCACAUCUAAGGAAGGCAGCAGGCACGCAAAUUACCCACUCCCGGCUCGGGGAGGUAGUGACGAAAAAUAACGAUGCGGGACUCUUCCGAGGCCUCGCAAUCGGAAUGAGUACACUUUAAAUCCUUUAACGAGGAUCCACUGGAGGGCAAGUCUGGUGCCAGCAGCCGCGGUAAUUCCAGCUCCAGUAGCGUAUAUUAAAGUUGCUGCGGUUAAAAAGCUCGUAGUUGGAUCUCAGUUCCGGACCGACGGCUCACCGCCCGGUGCCUGCCGUCGGCUUCCGAACGGCCGCUACGCCGGCUCGGCCGGGGUGCUCUUCAUCGAGUGUCCCGGCGCGGCCGGCACGUUUACUUUGAAAAA
rnacentral:rRNA from 1 species